rnacentral:rRNA from 1 species
UAGGGAAUCUUCGGCAAUGGACGGAAGUCUGACCGAGCAACGCCGCGUGAGUGAAGAAGGUUUUCGGAUCGUAAAACUCUGUUGUUAGAGAAGAACAAGGACGUUAGUAACUGAACGUCCCCUGACGGUAUCUAACCAGAAAGCCACGGCUAACUACGUGCCAGCAGCCGCGGUAAUACGUAGGUGGCAAGCGUUGUCCGGAUUUAUUGGGCGUAAAGCGAGCGCAGGCGGUUUCUUAAGUCUGAUGUGAAAGCCCCCGGCUCAACCGGGGAGGGUCAUUGGAAACUGUGAGACUUGAGUGCAGAAGAGGAGAGUGGAAUUCCAUGUGUAGCGGUGAAAUGCGUAGAUAUAUGGAGGAACACCAGUGGCGAAGGCGGCUCUCUGGUCUGUAACUGACGCUGAGGCUCGAAAGCGUGGGGAGCAAACAGG